GGCGAACUGAGAUGAGUAACACGUGAGCAACCUGCCCCAGGCUUUGGGAUAACCCCGGGAAACCGGGGCUAAUACCGAAUAUGACCCUGACCGCAUGGUUCGUGGUGGAAAGAUUUUCGGCUUGGGAUGGGCUCGCGGCCUAUCAGCUUGUUGGUGGGGAGAUGGCCUACCAAGGCGACGACGGGUAGCCGCCCUAGAGGGCGACCGGCCACACUGGGACUGAGACACGGCCCAGACUCCAAGGGAGGCAGCAGUGGGGAAUAUUGCACAAAGGGCGGAAGCCUGAUGCAGCGACGCCGCGUGCGGGAUGACGCCCUUCCGGGUUGUAAACCUUAUUUCCAGCAGGGGACGAAAGGAGUAAGUGGCCGGUACCCUGCAAGUAGGAGCGCCCGCCCAACUUACGUGGCCAGCAGCCGCGGGAAAGAACGUAGGGCGCCGAGCGUGUCCAGGAAUUAUUGGGCGUAAAGAGCUCGUAGGCGGCUUGUCGCGUCGACCGUGAAACCUUGGGGCUCAACCCCAAGCCUGCGGUCGAUACGGCCAGGCUAGAGUUCGGUAGGGGAGUCUGGAAUUCCUGGUGUAGCGGUGAAAUGCGCAGAUAUCACGAGGAACCCCGGUGGCGAAGGCGGGUCU
rnacentral:rRNA from 1 species